rnacentral:lncRNA from 1 species
UGAAUAAAAUAAUCAAAAUGAUAACAAUUAAAAUGUCUGAAAACUAAAACAACAUAAAAUGUUCACAGACAUAUUGACGUGUUUGUUUGGUUUCUCAGUUUAACAGGGUCCUGGUGUUUUACAGUAAAGCUGUGACCUCUUUGCUGCAUCGGGACCAUGCAGCAGCGGACCACAGAGGAGCAAGGCCUCCUGGGUAAACUGGGUCCUGGGGAGAAGAAGCUGGAAGGCAAGACCUUCUACUUGGAUGGCGUGAAGAAACGUUCAACAGCCCUGCUUUUGGAGGCCAUCACUCUUCACGGAGGGAGGAUUGAAAGUUUCCUACAUAAAGAUGUGAGUUUUGUUGUGACUGAGAGCCAGGAGGGCCCGAAGGAGCAGAAGUGUUCUAAUGCUCAAGAAGGGACAAGCGGGACAAAAGAAGAACCGCAUUGUCCCCUUAAACAGCAGGAGCGUGUCCUCAGCAGCGACAGGCAGCGACCUGUGACUCCUAGACCAGUGGCUUGUGGCAGUCGAGGGAAGGCCUUGCUUGAAAAAGCCAUUCGCAACAGUGAGCGACUGCAGGGCAGUGUUUUGGCCAAUGCCCAAUCAUGGGGAGUGAAGAUUUUGCACGUGAAUGGUAUCUUUUCGAAUGGAUCUGUAAAUAAAUAAAUAAAUUUGAUCAAUGUGCAGUAAACACUUCCUACCAGCAGGCGGCGCCAUGUUUGUUUUCUGCUGUUCUCAAACUAGUUGUAGAACUAACAUCCAUCGUGAACAUCUUGGAUUGUUCCUUAAUAUGCUGUCAGACGUCCUUUUGUAUUUAAAACUGUUGACCAGAGAGAGCUUCAGUGUGAAAAGCAAGAGGCAUGAGGUAAGCUCUGUUCACUUUAAGAUAUAUGCAAAGGAUCAGUAAUAUGUAAUUGUGUAUAAAUCAGCAAGUAGAAGCCAAAUGUUCUUAAAUGCAGUUGAGAUUGUAUAGAUUUUGAGCCUGUGACGUCCAUCUGCUAAUGCUUUGCUAAAAUAAACCGUCUUAAACUUUUUUAUUUUUAUGAAGA